rnacentral:tRNA from 1 species
GGCCUAAUGGUCUAGUAGUAUGAUACGCGCUUCGGGUAUUUUCCCGCUUCCUCAGGAAGCAAAGAUGUGCGUGGUCCCGGGUUCAAUUCCCGGUUGGGCCC